AGGGUCAGGUCUAGGGUCAGGUCUAGGUCAGGUCUAGGGUCAGUGUCAGGUCUAGGGUCAGGUCUAGGGUCAGGUCUAGGGUCAGGUCUAGGGCCAGGUCUAGGGCCAGUGUCAGGUCUAGGGUCAGUGUCAGGUCUAGGGUCAGUGUCAGGUCUAGGGUCAGGUCUAGGGUCAGGUCUAGGGUCAGUGUCAGGUCUAGUGUCAGGUCUAGGGUCAGGUCUAGGGUCAGGUCUAGGGUCAGUGUCAGGUCUAGGGCCAGGUCUAGGGUCAGUGUCAGGUCUAGGGCCAGUGUCAGGUCUAGGGCCAGUGUCAGGUCUAGGGUCAGGUCUAGGGCCAGUGUCAGGUCUAGGGCCAGUGUCAGGUCUAGGGCCAGUGUCAGGUCUAGGGUCAGUGUCAGGUCUAGGGUCAGGUCUAGGGUCAGUGUCAGGUCUAGGGCCAGGUCUAGGGUCAGUGUCAGGUCUAGGGCCAGUGUCAGGUCUAGGGUCAGUGUCAGGUCUAGGGUCAGGUCUAGGGUCAGGUCUAGGGUCAG
ensembl:lncRNA